rnacentral:tRNA from 1 species
GGGGGUAUAGCUCAGUGGUAGAGCACAUGCUUGGCGUGCAUGAGGUCCUGGGUUCAAUUGCCAGUGCCAUUG